rnacentral:rRNA from 1 species
UACGUAGGGGGCUAGCGUUGUCCGGAUUUAUUGGGCGUAAAAAGCGUGUAGGCGGCCAGGUAGGUCUGGUGUGAAAACUCGAGGCUUAACCUCGAGAUGUCAUCGGAAACCAUUUGGCUAGAGUCCGGAAGAGGAGAGUGGAAUUCCUGGUGUAGCGGUGAAAUGCGCAGAUAUCAGGAAGAACACCAAUGGCGAAAGCAGCUCUCUGGGACGGUACUGACGCUGAGACGCGAAAGCGUGGGGAGCGAACAGG